AUUCUUAUUUGAAAAAAAUAUAAAACUUACAUAAAGCGUCCACCAUUUUGAGUCAGCUAUCCUAUUAUUCAAUUUAUUUGAUUUGAUUCAGCAAAUUAUAUUUUGACUUUAAAAUUUGAAUGUGUCGUUUGUUUUUAUACAUUUAGUUAGAAUGUUUCAGAUAAUUCUCGCAACUAUAGAUUUAUUAAAAUAAAUAAUUAGUUUAAAUUUUAAAGUCAAAAUACUAUUAGCUGAUUCAAAUUAAACAAUUUGAUAGGUAAGAUAGUAGGAUCAAAAGAGGAAGAUCAAAGU
rnacentral:lncRNA from 1 species